rnacentral:tRNA from 1 species
CAGAAAAUAGUUUAACGAUAAUCUCGACUUUGGGGGCCGAGGGUGAAAGUUUGAUUCUUUCUUUUCUGA